ensembl:lincRNA
GCUGUACCUCCUCCACAGUCUUUCUCUGUCUUCCAGUCGGAUGCCGAUGGCAACAAGGACCUAAAUAAUGGUGGCGCCACAAGACGGAGGGAGCCAGCACCCCCAAGUCGCCGUGUGGAGGAAGGCCAUGUGCAGACCAGCACCGUUCGUCUCAGACUUGAGGCAGAACACAGGUGUGUGGCCGCCUAGAGCCUCGUGGAGCCUGAGCAGCAGAAGCAUAUCCUGUGGGUGUGGCUCACCAGGACGGCCUUCCUGGAGGAGGAGGGCUGCGACCCAGAGGAUGGAGAUGGGCCGGGAGGCUGUGGCUCUCGCCCCCUCCAUCUCUGCAGGCACAUACCUGCUGUGGCUGUAGCUCUGCUUCAUCUCUGUGGGGUCUCCCUUUCAACACAAAGUCAUGACCACCUUCCUGGCAUCGGGGGCCGCAGAGGCUGUGGAACCAGGAGCGGCCCCGGGGGGCUCAGGGCCAGCUCCCAAAUUAACAGGCACCGUUUUGUGAAGAUCUACAGUAUGCCGCGCCCGUGCUUGGGCCCGGGGUCCUCUGGAGCACCGUCUGGUGGGGGAGACAGAGCAGCAAAGGCAAGACGGAACACAAUGGGCAAAGUGACCUGACGGGUGCCGUCAUGAGAAGGCACAAGGGGGACCUCCGGCACGUGGGAGCUGGGAGCCAACCCAAAAUGAGGCUCCCUGCUCUCCAGCCGAGGCUGGGCUUCUCUGAGCCUCUCCCGGCCUGCCAUGAAGCUGGGCCUCCCCGGGGCCGCUAUGCUUUUCACCAAUCAGGUGGGAGCCAGAGAGAGGGUAGGAAGGAGAAGCGUAUCAACUGACCUCUCUUCUGUCCUCUCCCCAGUCACUGAUUGUGAUCUGGGGACUUCCUGGAAGAAGCUAUCACUCCCACCCAUUCAUGGUAGCCUUGGAACGUGCCUAAAAUUCCACCAUUAGAGACACCUGUUGCGGGGGGGGUUGGGGGGGUCAGGUGUUAGCUUAUAAAAGGGGAACUUUAGAGAGAAAGCCUAUUUAAUCUUGGUUCAAACUUAACUAGCUUGUUGGAGCCAGAUUGUCUUGAUUUGAACCCAGCUCCACCACUGUUAGAUUCUGAGUAAGUUAUUUACCCUCCUUGAGCUUUGGUCCCCGCCCCUCCCCCACCGUCUGCAAAAUGGGAACACAGUACCUGCGGUGAGGUGAGAUAAGGUAAGAGACAGAAAGCCCUUGCCAGACGGUGGGGCGUUUAGAAAACAUUCGGUGAUUGUUAGCUGUUACUGACGUGGGGAACAAAGGCAAAAGGAAAAGUUAAAUUUCCUUACUGCCUGCAGCCCAUUGAUAAGUCCUUGGAAGAGGUAGAGGGACCUUCCUCUGGGAGCUCAGCUGCCUCCGUGUUAAUACUUGGCUAAGGGCAAAGGCAAUCUCAACUUCACAUUAUCCCAACUCCCCAGGAUCCUGAGUCUACUUUAACAUAUAAAAAUUCCUUUGGAAACCUCCUUUCUCUCUACUCGCCCCACCCCCGCAAGAUACAUGUUGGCAAUCCUCCUCCUGCCAUCUGUCACACUGAUCUACAUCUAAAGGGUCUCAUGACCGAGCCUGUACUAAACAGUAAUAAAUGACCUUUUCCUAACAACAGCUAGCCCCUCAAGGUGCUGGAAACCCUGCUUCUAAAAUUCCGUAGACACUUCUGUUAUCCCCGACCCCCUCCCAACUUGAAAGUAUAUAACCAGUCACACGUCACAAACCCAGGGCAGCUCUUUCCGCUUACGGGUCCCGUCCCUGGGCUGUUAUAAAACCACCUUUUUGCACCCAAGCUGUCUCGAGAAUUCUUCCUUGGCCAUCAGUUCCGAACGCCAACAUUUCUACCUCAUUAAUAUUUAUUACCCACGAUUGCUGUCAUCUUCAUCAUUAUUGACACAACACUAACUUUUUUCCCCAACUGCAACUACAAAGAAGAAAAAAACAGAGGCCCGUGCUGCAGGAAUUCAGUCAAGGGCGCAAGGCAGGUGAAAGCCAGCAGGGAUGAGCUAGUUUAAUACGUGGCUGUCCUUGGAAGGGGGCAGGGGGCUUUCUAGUGAGAUGACCACGUCUGGAGGAGAAGGAUUUCACACCCAGGAAAGCUCUUGCCCGAGGCCAGGGCGUCAGGAGAAUUCAUCCAUCCUGUUUUGCUUUGUUGGAAUUGGAAUGGGGGUGCAGAUCUGACCCCUGGGACAGAAACCAAGAAGACCAUGCAGUUUCCAUGCAGACUCUUCCAGGGUCUGCUGGGCUUUGGCCUAAGGAAAUUCCCUACAGGAGGUGCCGGAAGAAGGACCCGCUUGAAGCUCCUGAAAGGAAAAAUCUCCUCUGCCUGCCAAAUGCAUAUGACUGUUCCCGCCACAGUCCCAGCCUCCAGCCGACUUCUGCUGGGACUUCUGCCCUGCCUUGGCCUUGAACUUCAG